rnacentral:rRNA from 1 species
AUGGGGACCCUCAGGGAGAUCCUGCCGUCGCCCAAGACGUCGUCGUCCACCUUCUACGACCACAGCAGCGACCCGUGGUUCAAGGAGCGGUACGGCGGGGAGCCCGCGGAGGCGGCGGCGGGGAAGCUUGCGGGCCCCGCCAAGCCCGUGCCUCCCUACGGCAAGCGCACCGGCUUCGUGCCCCGGCGGCCGGAGGACUUCGGCGAUGGCGGCGCCUUCCCCGAGAUCCUCCUCGCGCAGUACCCGCUCGGCAUGGGCCGCCGCGACGACAAGGGCGGGUCCAAGAUCCUCGCGCUCACCGUCGACGCGCAGGGCAGCGUCGCCUUCGACGCCGUCGUCAAGCAGGGCGAGAACGCCAAGAAGAUCGUCUACUCCAAGCACAGCGACAUCGUGCCCAAGAUCGCCACGGCCGACUCGGAAGCCGUCGAGGACGAGGAGUACGACAAGGAGGUCGAGGAGACCAAAGAGCGGACCGUAGCUGCCCUGCAGAAGAUUGUCAACGUCCGCCUCUCUGCUGCCCAGCCCAAGAACGUUCCGACGCAUGAUUCGGAAUCAAAGUUCAUCAAGUAUAAGCCGUCGCAGCAGUCGGCAGCGUUCAAUUCAGGUGCCAAGGAGAGGAUUAUUAGGAUGUCGGAGAUGGCUUCGGAUCCUCUUGACCCACCAAAGUUCAAGCAUAAGCGGGUGCCCCGUGCGUCUGGGUCGCCGCCUGUGCCCGUGAUGCACUCGCCACCACGGCCCGUCACAGUGAAGGACCAGCAGGAUUGGAAGAUCCCACCUUGCAUUUCAAAUUGGAAGAAUCCAAAGGGUUACACAAUCCCACUCGACAAGAGGUUGGCAGCUGAUGGGAGGGGGCUGCAGGAGGUUCAGAUUAAUGAUAACUUUGCAAAGCUUUCAGAAGCAUUGUAUGUUGCAGAGCAGAAGGCGAGGGAAGCAGUGCAGAUGCGCUCCAAGGUGCAGAGGGAGCUAAUGCUAAAGGAGAAGGAGAGGAAGGAGCAAGAGCUGAGGGCACUUGCACAGAAGGCCCGCAUGGAAAGGUCUGGUGCUCCACCUCCAUCUACAGGUAUGCCUGUCGGAGGUGGGAGGGAGAGAGAGCGGGAGAGGGUUGUUGAUGAUGGGGAUGCAGAUAUGGAUUUGGAGCAGCCACGUGAGCAGCGCAGGGAAACUAGAGAAGAGAGGGAGGCGAGGAUUGAGCGUGACAGGAUCCGUGAGGAGCGGAGGCGUGAGAGGGAGAGGGAGAGGAGGCUGGAGGCAAAGGAGGCUGCUGGAACGCAUAAAAAGAGUAAGCUCACUAGAGACAGGGACCGUGACGUUGGUGAGAAGGUGGCCCUGGGUAUGGCACACACUGGUGCGAAGACCGGGGAAGUCAUGUAUGACCAGAGGCUCUUUAACCAGGACAAGGGAAUGGACUCUGGUUUUGGUGCUGAUGAUCAGUACAACCUGUAUUCGAAGGGCCUCUUCACAGCACAGUCCAGUAUGUCCUCACUUUACAGGCCCAAGAAGGAUGGUGAUUCUGAAGUGUAUGGUGGUGAUGCCGACGAACAGUUGGAGAAGGUUAUGAAGACAGAGAGGUUCAAGCCUGACAAGGCAUUUACCGGUGCUCCAGAGAGGGCUGGCAAGAGAGAUAGACCCGUGGAGUUUGAUAAGCAAGAGGAGGCUGAUCCAUUUGGUCUUGAUCAGUUCUUGACUGAGGUGAAGAAGGGAAAGAAAGCUGUGGACAAGAUUGGUGGCGGAGGAACUAUGAAGGCAAGUGGUGGAUCUUCAAGGGAUGAUUACGAGGGUGGGGGGUCUGGGAGGUCUCGCAUUAACUUCGAAAGAGGAGGGCGUUGA